GAUGAACGCUAGCGGCAGGCUUAAUACAUGCAAGUCGAGGGGCAGCAUGACCGUAGCAAUACAGUUGAUGGCGACCGGCAAACGGGUGCGGGACACGUACAGAACCUUCCUUCGAGCGGGGAAUAGCCCAGAGAAAUUUGGAUUAAUACCCCAUAGUAUUAUGGAGUGGCAUCACUUUAUAAUUAAAGAUUUAUCACUUGAAGAUGGCUGUGCGGCUGAUUAGAUAGUUGGUGAGGUAACGGCUCACCAAGUCUACGAUCAGUAACUGGUGUGAGAGCACGACCAGUCACACGGGCACUGAGACACGGGCCCGACUCCUACGGGAGGCAGCAGUAAGGAAUAUUGGUCAAUGGACGCAAGUCUGAACCAGCCAUGCCGCGUGGAGGAUGAAGGUCCUCUGGAUUGUAAACUUCUUUUAUAUGGGACGAAAAAGGGCCUUUCCAGGCCAACUGACGGUACCAUAUGAAUAAGCACCGGCUAACUCCGUGCCAGCAGCCGCGGUAAUACGGAGGGUGCAAGCGUUAUCCGGAAUCAUUGGGUUUAAAGGGUCCGUAGGCGGUUUAGUAAGUCAGUGGUGAAAGCCCAUCGCUCAACGGUGGAACGGCCAUUGAUACUGCUGAACUUGAAUUAUUAGGAAGUAACUAGAAUAUGUAGUGUAGCGGUGAAAUGCUUAGAGAUUACAUGGAAUACCAAUUGCGAAGGCAGGUUACUACUAAUGGAUUGACGCUGAUGGACGAAAGCGUGGGUAGCGAA
rnacentral:rRNA from 1 species